GACGAACGCUGGCGGCGUGCCUAACACAUGCAAGUCGAACGAUGCAGUCGAGACACGCGGACUACGGUUCAAUAAUCACUUCGGACCUGUGGUAGACGUGUGAGUAACGCGUGAGCAACCUACCUCAUACCAAGGAAUAUCCUCGGGAAACAGUGAUUAAUACUAUAUGUGACAUUCCUAAGGCUUAUCAAGAAUGUUAAAGAUACGGCGGCAAGGGAUGGGCUCGCGUCCGAUUAGCUAGUUGGUAAGGUAAACGCCGACCAAGGCGACGAUGGAUAACCGGUCUGAGAGGGUGAUCAGUCACAUUGGGACUGAGACACGGCCCAGACUCCUACGGGAGGCAGCAGUGGGGAAUAUUGGACAAUGGAGGGAACUCUGAUGCAGCAAUGCCGCGUGAGCGAUGAAGGAAUUCGGGUCGUAAAGCUCUGUUCUAUGGGAUGAAAAGGACAGUACCGUGAGAAAAAGCCCCGGCUAACUACGUG
rnacentral:rRNA from 1 species